UUACACUUAUAAUGCAAUAAAAAAUUUUUGGUUAUAAUUAAUAAUAACAUUGUUUGGAUUAAUUUUUAAUUUUAUUAAGUGAAAUUUUUAAAAUUAGAAUAAGUCUUUAAAUAUAUUAUGAGGUUAAUAAAUUUAGAUUUAAAGACUAGGAUUAGAUACCCUAUUAUUCUAAACGGCAAUUAAAUUACCAGGUUAGUAUUAGAUAUGGUCUUGAAAAUUAAAGAAGUUGGCGGUAUUUUAGUCUAUUCAGAGGAACCUGCCCUAUAAUCGAUGGUCCACGAUUUUUAUUACUUAUUUUAUUAGUUUAUAUAUCGCCGUAGUUUGAACAUUUUUUAAAAAAAGAAAUGUUCAUAAUUUUUUUAGAAAAGAAUUCAGGUCAAGGUGUAGCUUAUAAAUAAGAAGAGGUGGGUUACAAUAAAUUUAUUUAUAUGAAUUGAUAAGUGAAAUUUUAUAAUGAAAAUGGAUUUGAAGGUAAUUUUAUUUAAAUUUAUAAGAUGAUUUUAGCUCUAAAAUAUGUAC
rnacentral:rRNA from 1 species